rnacentral:ncRNA from 1 species
UCCGCAGCGCGUGCCGCAGGACGACCUGCGGGAAGCUCACGCCCUUGAGGCGCGCCGUGCGGAUGUAUUGCGCCGUCAUCACCUCGGUCAUCGAGGCGCGCGUCAUCCGGGCGACGUAGCCCAUGGCAUAGAGCGCCACGGUCAGCACCGGCAGCGUGAAGUUGACGAGGUUCGCGUC